rnacentral:rRNA from 1 species
GACGAACGCUGGCGGCGUGCUUAACACAUGCAAGUCGAACGGAAAGGCCCUGCUUUUGUGGGGUGCUCGAGUGGCGAACGGGUGAGUAACACGUGAGUAACCUGCCCUUGACUUUGGGAUAACUUCAGGAAACUGGGGCUAAUACCGGAUAGGAGCUCCUGCUGCAUGGUGGGGGUUGGAAAGUUUCGGCGGUUGGGGAUGGACUCGCGGCUUAUCAGCUUGUUGGUGGGGUAGUGGCUUACCAAGGCUUUGACGGGUAGCCGGCCUGGGAGGGUGACCGGCCUCAUUGGGACUGAGAUACGGCCCAGACUCCUACGGGAGGCAGCAGUGGGGAAUAUUGCACAAUGGGCGGAAGCCUGAUGCAGCAACGCCGCGUGCGGGAUGACGGCCUUCGGGUUGUAAACCGCUUUCGCCUGUGACGAAGCGUGGGUGACGGUAAUGGGUAAAGAAGCACCGGCUAACUACGUG